CGCACGGGUGAGUAAGGUAUAGUUAAUCUGCCCUACACAAGAGGACAACAGUUGGAAACGACUGCUAAUACUCUAUACUCCUGCUUAACACAAGUUGAGUAGGGAAAGUUUUUCGGUGUAGGAUGAGACUAUAUAGUAUCAGCUAGUUGGUAAGGUAAUGGCUUACCAAGGCUAUGACGCUUAACUGGUCUGAGAGGAUGAUCAGUCACACUGGAACUGAGACACGGUCCAGACUCCUACGGGAGGCAGCAGUAGGGAAUAUUGCGCAAUGGGGGAAACCCUGACGCAGCAACGCCGCGUGGAGGAUGACACUUUUCGGAGCGUAAACUCCUUUUCUUAGGGAAGAAUUCUGACGGUACCUAAGGAAUAAGCACCGGCUAACUCCGUGCCAGCAGCCGCGGUAAUACGGAGGGUGCAAGCGUUACUCGGAAUCACUGGGCGUAAAGGGCGCGUAGGCGGAUUAUCAAGUCUCUUGUGAAAUCUAAUGGCUUAACCAUUAAACUGCUUGGGAAACUGAUAGUCUAGAGUGAGGGAGAGGCAGAUGGAAUUGGUGGUGUAGGGGUAAAAUCCGUAGAUAUCACCAAGAAUACCCAUUGCGAAGGCGAUCUGCUGGAACUCAACUGACGCUAAGGCGCGAAAGCGUGGGGAGCAAACAGGAUUAGAUACCCUGGUAGUCCACGCCCUAAACGAUGUACACUAGUUGUUGGGGUGCUAGUCAUCUCAGUAAUGCAGCUAACGCAUUAAGUGUACCGCCUGGGGAGUACGGUCGCAAGAUUAAAACUCAAAGGAAUAGACGGGGACCCGCACAAGCGGUGGAGCAUGUGGUUUAAUUCGAAGAUACGCGAAGAACCUUACCUGGGCUUGAUAUCCUAAGAACCUUUUAGAGAUAAGAGGGUGCUAGCUUGCUAGAACUUAGAGACAGGUGCUGCACGGCUGUCGUCAGCUCGUGUCGUGAGAUGUUGGGUUAAGUCCCGCAACGAGCGCAACCCACGUAUUUAGUUGCUAACGGUUCGGCCGAGCACUCUAAAUAGACUGCCUUCGUAAGGAGGAGGAAGGUGUGGACGACGUCAAGUCAUCAUGGCCCUUAUGCCCAGGGCGACACACGUGCUACAAUGGCAUAUACAAUGAGACGCAAUACCGCGAGGUGGAGCAAAUCUAUAAAAUAUGUCCCAGUUCGGAUUGUUCUCUGCAACUCGAGAGCAUGAAGCCGGAAUCGCUAGUAAUCGUAGAUCAGCCAUGCUACGGUGAAUACGUUCCCGGGUCUUGUACUCACCGCCCGUCACACCAUGGGAGUUGAUUUCACUCGAAGCCGG
rnacentral:rRNA from 2 species